rnacentral:pre_miRNA from 1 species
UACUUGAGAGGGUGACAUUCACAGAUACUGGACAUGACUGUCACCUUUUUUGAGUACA